GCCUGGAUGGCUCAGUCGGUUAAGCGUCCGACUUCAGCUCAGGUCAUGAUCUCGCGGUCCGUGGGUUCGAGCCCCGCGUCGGGCU
rnacentral:tRNA from 1 species